GAGUUUGAUCCUGGCUCAGGAUGAACGCCGGCGGUGUGCCUAAUACAUGCAAGUCGAACGCGUUGGCCCAACUGAUUGAACGUUCUUGCACGGACUUGACGUUGGUUUACCAGCGAGUGGCGGACGGGUGAGUAACACGUAGGUAACCUGCCCCAAAGCGGGGGAUAACAUUUGGAAACAGAUGCUAAUACCGCAUAACAAUUUGAAUCGCAUGAUUCAAAUUUAAAAGAUGGCUUCGGCUAUCACUUUGGGAUGGACCUGCGGCGCAUUAGCUUGUUGGUAGGGUAACGGCCUACCAAGGCUGUGAUGCGUAGCCGAGUUGAGAGACUGAUCGGCCACAAUGGAACUGAGACACGGUCCAUACUCCUACGGGAGGCAGCAGUAGGGAAUCUUCCACAAUGGGCGCAAGCCUGAUGGAGCAACACCGCGUGAGUGAAGAAGGGUUUCGGCUCGUAAAGCUCUGUUGUUAGAGAAGAACGUGCGUGAGAGCAACUGUUCACGCAGUGACGGUAUCUA
rnacentral:rRNA from 1 species